AUCUGGCACAGUGAGAAUCAGCUGAUGUCGAGCGAUCGGGCUCCAUCAGUGGCUCCAACUCACCCCUGUGCCCACCCCUUUCUGUGGCUUCCUGUUGCUCGUAAAUUUUCUCUUCUCUGUAGUAGAUGACAAUGCUAAACUGGAGGGUUUAACCAGGGGCUUCAAACUCAGCUUUCCUGCUGUGUUCAUAAUUUGAUUAAUUUUUAUAAUUAUUAUUUUAGUUAUGUGUCCCAAGGGAAGAAGGGUGUAUUAGUUCCUCUAUAGCCUUGGCAGUCCUGAAACGCACUAUGUAGACCAGGCUGGCUUCAAACUCACUAUAUAGCCUAGGGUAACCUUGACCUGCAGGUCUUCCUGCCUCCACUUUCUGAGUCCUAAGAUUGUUUCCGUUUGGUUUGGUUUAUAUAGUGCCAGGGACGGAACCCCGGGUUAUGUAUCUGCUAGACAAAUACUCAAAUGAACUACAUCCCCAGCUCCCAUUAAACUAUUAUCUUAAUUUUAAACCAUCUGGACUUCCUUCCUGACUCUUUCUCUGUGUACACUCGAGCGAGAGCACAUGUGCAUGACCAGUGCAGACACAGACACCAGAGGGCAGCUUCUAGAAGGCAGUCUUCUCCUUCCAGCGUGUGGGUCCUUGGAAUCAAACUCACUUCAGGUGGUCAGUCAGAGUCAAGCUCCUUUCCCUGACGAGUCAUUUCACGAGCUCUAGGAAACCAUUUUUAACUGGAAACGCCGUGGAAACAUUUAUUAUUCAUUUAUUCAGCAAAUAUUUAUUUGUUCAGUGUUGACAUGCAAAGAACAGUACCAGGCAGACUCUCUGCUUAGUUAUGGGGGUACAGGCAGGGUGCUUACUUAGCACGCAUGAAAGGAAGCCUUAGGUUCAAUCCUCAGUAGUGUUAAAAAACAAAACAGCCGGGCGUGGUGGCGCACGCCUUUAAUCCCAGCACUCGGGAGGCAGAGGCAGGCGGAUUUCUGAGUUCGAGGCCAGCCUGGUCUACAAAGUGAGCUCCAGGACAGCCAGGGCUAUACAGAGAAACCCUGUCUCGAUAAACCCAAAACAAACAAACAAACAAACAAAAAAACAAAACAAAACCAAAAACCAACAACAACAACAACAAAACAAGAUGGGGCUGGAGAGAUGGCUCAGCGGUUAAGAGCACUGACUGCUCUUCCAGAGGUCCUGAGUUCAAUUCCCAGAAACUUUGUCUGAAGACAGCUCCAGUGCACUCACAUACAUUAAAUAAACAGUGGCCUAGGCAUAGAUGGGAGGCAGAGGUAGGCGGAUUUUGUGACUUCAAGGCCAGCUUGGUCUUUAUAGCUAAUUCCAGGACAGCCAGGACUACAGAGUGAGACUCAAAACAAGCAAAAAGGCUUAGCAAGUCAGGCGGUGCAAAGAGCUAUUGAGAGUUGUAACGCAAGAUGAGGGGCAAAUUCAGGAGCGUGUGCACAUGAAGGUUGCUAUGGUUAUCUAGGAUACCUGAGCGCUGUGACAGAUGACUUGGAGCGCAGUGUGUAGCGCGAAUGGCAAAUGCAAAGGCCUGGAGCAGAACGCAUGUUGUUGGAGCGACAGCAAGAAACUGCGGAGGUAGCUUAAGAGACUGGUCACUCGUGACCUUCUGGACGCCUCUGAAUCCUGAGAGUACUUUAUGCCACACCCAACAUGGCGACCGCACCGGGUCCAUCCGGGCGCAAGCGGAAGUACGUCUAGGCGUGCGCCGCAGCCACGCCCCUUACCGGGGUCUCUGUGGAGCUGUGGCCGCGCCGGCUUCGAGCAUCCCUACGCUGGCAGGCUGGGGGACUGUGAGGCUGCAGCUCCGGCGGCUAGCUCCGGAGAGGACAUGUCCAGUGAGGAGGAGGCAGCGGCAGAGGCAGCAGGUGACACCCACCUGCUUGGCUUCUCCGAUGAGAUCCUCCUACACAUCCUGAGCCAUGUCCCCAGCACGGACCUGGUUCUCAGUGUGCGGCGCACCUGCAGGAAACUGGCAGCCCUGUGCCUGGACAAGAGCCUGGUGCACACCGUGCUGCUGCAGAAGGACUACCAGGCCAGUGAGGAGAAGGUGAAGCAACUGGUGAAGGAGAUUGGCCGGGAGAUCCAACAGCUGAACAUGGCAGGCUGCUAUUGGUUGUCUGGCUCCACCAUCGAGCACGUGGCCCGGUGUCACAGCCUGGUGAAGGUGAACUUGUCAGGUUGCCACCUCACCUCGCUGCGGCUGUCCAAGGUGCUCUCGGCCCUGCAGCACCUGCGCUCAUUGGCCAUUGACGUGAGCCCCGGCUUCGACGCCAGCCAGCUGAGCAGUGAGUGCAAGGCCACGCUAAGCCGCGUGCAGGAGCUCAAGCAGACACUCUUCACGCCGUCCUACGGGGUGGUGCCCUGCUGUGCCAGCCUGCAGAAGCUGCUGCUCUACUUCGAGAUCCUGGACCGCACCCGGGAGGGGGCCGUCCUCUCGGGCCAGCUCAUGGUGGGCCAGAGCAACGUGCCCCACUACCAGAACCUGCGUGUCUUCUAUGCACGCCUGGCUCCUGGCUACAUCAACCAGGAGGUGGUGAGACUCUACCUGGCCGUGCUCAGCGACCGCACGCCUGAGAACCUGCAUGCCUUCCUCAUCUCCGUCCCUGGCAGCUUUGCAGAGAGCGGGGCCACCAAAAACUUGCUGGACUCCAUGGCCCGCAACGUGGCCCUGGAUGCACUGCAGCUGCCCAAGUCCUGGCUCAAUGGCUCCACCCUCCUCCAGCAUAUGAAAUUCAACAAUCCCUUCUACUUCAGCUUCAGCCGGUGUACGCUGUCAGGGGGUCACCUGAUUCAGCGGCUCAUCAAUGGCGGGAAGGACCUGCGUAGCCUGGCCAGCCUCAACCUCAGCGGCUGUGUGCAUUGCCUGUCUGCGGACUCGUUGCUGCGCAAGGCCGAGGACGACAUUGACAGCAGCAUCCUGGAGACUCUGGUGGAGUCCUGCUGCAACCUGCACCACCUCAAUCUCUCUGCCGCCCAUCACCACAGCUCCGACGGCCUGGGCCGCCACCUCUGCCAGCUCCUGGCUCGGCUCUGCCACCUGCGUUCCCUGUCCCUGCCUGUCUGCUCUGUGGCUGACUCGGCACCCAGGCCUGACCGUGCGCCCGCCCCGCCAGCCAUGCACGCAGUACCCCGUGGAUUUGGCAAGAAGCCAUGCCCCGCAAUGAGCCUGCCAUCCGCAACUCCCUCCCACCCUGCAGUCGGGCACAGAACGUGGGGGACUCAGAGGUGGCCGCCAUUGGCCAGCUGACCUUCCUGCGGCACCUGACUCUAGCCCAACUGCCAGGCAUGCUCACGGGCUCCGGACUCGUGAGCAUCGGUCUCCAGUGCCAGCACCUGCAGUCUCUAUCGCUGGCCAACCUGGGCAUGAUGGGGAAGGUGGUGUACAUGCCUGCUCUUGCUGACAUGCUGAAGCACUGCAAGCGGCUGAAGGACCUCAGGUUGGAGCAGCCCUACUUCAACGCCAACGCUCAGUUCUUCCAGGCACUGGGCCAGUGCUCGUCUCUGCAGCGCCUGUGCCUGGUAUCUCGCAGCGGCACCCUGCAGCCAGAUGCCGUGCUGGCCUUUAUGGCCCGUUGCCUGCAGGUCGUCAUGUGUCACAUGUUCACCGGAGAAUCCCUUACCACCUGCAAGAGCCUGCAGCAGUCGCUCCUCCGGAGUUUCCAGGCCGAGAGGCCCGCGUUGAACGUCGUCAUCUUCCCCCUGCUCCACGAGGGCCUGACAGAUGUCAUCCGAGAUGUCCCCAUGCUGCACCUGGAUGAGAUCACCUUGUUCAAAAGCCGUGUGGCUGAGGAACCGCCCAACCUAUGGUGGUGAGAGGACCCUGGCCAGCCCGCCCACCACUCCUGCUACCACGUCCACCACUCCUGUCGCCAGAGCCUCUUCUGUCUGAGUCUCCACGAGGGUGCCCGGAGCCAGCAGACAGUAAGGCCUUGUUCCGUGACAGGAAGAAAGUUUCCAGUUCUCCUGAGACACUCACCCCAGUCCCCCGGGAUUCUCUCUGUCACUCUCAUGAGUACAGUGACAAGAAGUAAUCUGGUGAGCCAUGGACGAAUGGGCCGUGGAUGAGCCAGGCUGCCCUUCAGGGCCUGGCUGUGCUGGGGGUGGGGGGAGGAUUUGUGGGCUGCGGUCCCCAGUCCUCUCGCUUGCUUCAGCUUGGGGACUCUCGCCUGCUCCUUUGUUCAUGGCCGUCUACACUUAAGCUCAGUCAUGUGACCGCACCCACGUGCAGUCAGGGUGGGCCGGGCUGUCACUGUGAAAUUCUCGAAUGUUGUCUGUGAGCCUGUGGCUCCUUUUCCUGUUGAGCUCCAUUUAGGGUGUGGGCCAGUGGCAGAGCUAGUGUGUGCGAGGCCCUGGCUGCCAUCCCCGCCACAAAAAAAAAAGUUUAACCCAUUGAUGUCUCCAGGAUGUUUUCAGCUCAGUGAUACUUGUACCAGAGAGUCCCCUGAAGCAGGGACUGUGGGGUGGCUUCACCCCCAAACUGAGCCUGAGGAGUUGAGCCUGUGUCUCACAAGUGGUCACCUCUCCUUACAGUCGGUGCUGUGGUGCUCUGAAUGCCUUCCAGGAACACUGCAACCGCUGGCCCCAUUAAGAUAGCUGAAUACGGUAAAAGCCAGCGUUGGGUGUAGGUUGGAGCAGGGAGCGCCUACCUGUUUAGUCCUUACAAAAUCCACCAAGAGCACUGCUUUAGUUAGUGUGUGGGCAUGGACCCCAGGUUCCAUCCCCAGAAUGUGGUGCCAGCACUCCAGAAGUCAGGACACAAGUGUGAGUCACCCUCAGCUACAUAACUGAUGUAGAGGCUAACCUGGGCUACAUAAGACCCUGUUUCAAUCUCAGCAAAUGAAAAACAAAGGCCAGACAAAGCUAGAGGAGGAGCCAGUGUCUGUGGCUUCACGCCAGCGAGACUGAGCCAGUAGCCCCUGGAGGGACGUCUGAGAGCGUGUGGUGUGUGGGAGCGUGUGGUGGCAUCGAUCCACUGACUCCCACCUGGGCCUCCCCAGGACGGGCUCCAGCACGUGUGGACAUUGAUCCAGGUGGUUUCCAGCCUAGACCACCUCAGUCCGUGCCGUGCCGCCCACCAGGCCUCACUCACUGCUGGUGACCGCCCCAGACCCAGCCUGCCCUCACAUCUCCUGUCUCCCGGUCAGCAUCCCUUGCUGGUGAGGAGCAGCGCUAGACUGUGCCUGGGGAGACCCAGCUCUGGGGACAGUGUUAGGGAAACAGCCCUCAGGCCCAGGCCCCAAGAACUGUGCCUCUGUCUGGCCCUUGGCAUUCUAGCUUCAGUGUUUACAUGGGGUCUCCAGUGCCAAGCCCUCUCCCCUCAGCCAGCCUCUUGCCUGAGGGAAUCCUCGAUUCUCUCCGGAGCCCACAGUGCUCUUCCCUGUCCUGUGGCUGAGCGAUCUUAACUCCUAGCCAGAGGUAUUGGUCUGUCUGCAGGCUGAUCCCAGGGACACCCAGCCCACACCCAGAGCUCUUACCCUCCCAGUCGGAGAGUUCUAAGCCUUCCCUGUCCCUUCCUGCCACUGCAGGCCAUUGGACUGACUGCCAAGGUUCCAGGGGGCAGACUGAAGUCCCACAUGGCUGUAGACAAGGGACCCAAAGAUAGUGGAACCCACUUCUUCCAGUUGAGAAGAAGGGUGAGCAUGUCUUUAGAACAUUAAGCUGGCACCUGAGGACCACCCAUAGGCCCUCCAGGACCCACUGCUGCUUGUCCUUAAGAUGAGAAUGUGGCUGGUCCCAGCCUGUGAUGGGAGCAGGCUGCUUGGAGGUAUCUGGUCCCAAGAAUCCUUGCGAAUACUUCCUUUAAAGGCAGCCCCCCUCAGCUGGCUGUGGUGGUGAAGGGGUUUUUUGUUUGUUGGUUUUUUUUUUUUUUUUUUUUUUUUUUUGUGGUUUUUCGAGACAGGGUUUCUCUGUGUAGCCCUGGCUGUCCUGGAACUCACUUUGUAGACCAGGCUAGCCUCGAACUCUGAAAUCCGCCUGCCUCUGCCUCUCGAGUGCUGGGAUUAAAGGUGUGUGCCACCACACCCGGCCAGUAGUGGUGAAGGUUUUAAUCCCAGAGGCAGGUGAAUCUCUGUGAGUUCGAGGCCAGCCUGUUCGGCAUAGUAAGUUCUAGUCUAGCCAGGGCUAUAUAGAGACUCUGUCUCAAAAAAACAACUACAAAAACCCAAACAAAUGGCAGCCCCGUUCAGACAGGAAAUCACUUUUCUCCUGGGAUGUUAUUCAAAAAGCCAGAGCCAUUCUGUCAAUCCUGUGGAUAGGCAGUUCUUAGGACCAGCAGUGCUAGCCUCUGGCAUUUUUUAUGCCCAGAAACUGGGCUGACAGGGAGGGGCCUGGGCACAGGAGGCUGGGGGUGCAGACUGCCUGAGGAAGCACCCCCAACUAGUAGGCCUUGUAUUCUCAGCGUCUCCUUCGACUUCAAGCGAGAAUUUUCUCUCCUCCUCCACUGGGGACAGGAUCCACCAGAUGUCAAUAGCGUGCUUAUUUUCGCUAAGUGCUAUUUUGGCACUGGUGUUAAUCGAAAUUUAUAGCCUGCAGCAUUUGACGCUGGGAAAAGAACCCACCCUAAUGGUCCCUGAUUGGCAGGACUGGGCUGUUAAGUGGCAGACCAUAUGCUGCCUGCUGAGAGCACGGUGAGCGCUUGGGCCUCUGUGUGUGUGUGUGUGUGUGUGUGUGUGUGUGCGCGAGCGUGUGUGUACUUGUACCUGCACGUGUAUACAUGUAUAUGUGUAUGCCUGUGUGCAUGCGUCUACGCCUGCAUCUUCUGGUGGUGUGUUUCACAUUAAGGAGGGUCAGACAUGGGGGAAUUCAUCCUUUGUAAACAGAAAGCCCCUGACCUCCCAAGGCUGCCUGAAUCCCUGCCUUGGCCCACCCCUGGCUGUUUUUGCUUCCUUUUCCAGACCUUGUGGGUUUUUGGUUUGGUUUGGUUUGGUUUGGUUUGGUUUGGUUUUUGUUUUUUUGAGACUGGGUUUUCCUGGUAUAGCCCUGGCUGUCCUGGAACUCACUGUGUAGACCAGGCUGGCCUUGAACUCAAAGAGAUCCGUCUGCCUCUGCCUUCCGAGUGCUAGGAUUAAAGGCGUGCGCCACCACUGCCUGGCUAGACCCUGUGCUUUGUGUGCUGCCUUUGAUGCCAUGUCUCCCAACCCUCUUGCUCGGCGCAAACCAGCAAACCAGGCUCACUGAGUGACUUUCCUGUUUUCUUCUUAAAACUCUGUGCAUGCGCGCAUGCGUGUGUGUGCAGGUCUGUGUGUGCCAUGGCACAUGUAUAGAGAGCAAAGGACAAUCUUGGGUGUCUCUUCUCACCUCCACCUUGUUUGAGACAGAGUCUUUUGUUCGCUGUUGUAUACACCAGGCUAGCUGACGCAUGAACUACCAGGGACUCUGCUGUCUCCACCCAUCCGUCCCUCGAUGGGCAUUCAAUGAUGACAGAUGUAGCUACCAUGCCUGGCUUCAUGUGGGUUCUGGGGCUCUGAGCUCCGGUCCUCGAGAAACAAGUUCUCUAUCCAUAGAGCUGGGUCCUCAACCCAUUUUCCUGAUUUUUAUAGGGAGGACUCUUACUGGCCAGAUUGAAGAGGGCUCUGCUUUGAUAUGACAGGGACAGGCUCUGACCUGCCAGUGGCCCCUAGAGGCCCUGUAAUAGGGCCACGAGGUCCAGGCCCAGGCUGUGACUAGGAAGGGCUGGGCCCAGACACUUGAAUCCACCGGUAGCUUCACGUUUGGGCAUCCAGGGCAGAUUCUCUGACUAUCUACUGUAUCAGGCCCAGAGUUAAAAGCCAAUACUUAGCAAGAUGAUGGGGUUGGGCCAGUCUAGGGCCGUAGGGGUCUGAGGGAAAGAUGGGCCUAAGCAGUGGGGCUGUUGGUGCCAAAGGCCAGGCCUCAAGCAGGAUGGACCGCCACCCUCACGCCCACUCCAAGAGGGGCCAGCAUGCCGCCUCUCUCUCCAGCGUCCACUGCUACCUACCCCUUUGAAGACUGGGAGCUGCUGAACUCUUCUAAGGGAAAAAUAAGAGAAGCCAAGUGUGAUUGUGCAUCUCAUCCCAGACUGCAGGAGGUGGGAGCAGGGGGUCAGGAGUUCAAGGCCAGCUUCAGCUAUGUAAUGAAUUUGAAGCUAGCCUGGGCUUCCUGAGAUGACACUAUGUCAAUAAAGAUCAGAGUGGGGGUAGUGGGAGAGAGAGAGAGAGAGAGAGAGAGAGAGAGAGAGAGAGAGAGUGUGUGUGUGUGUGUGUGUGUGUGUGUGUGUUGGUGUUGAAUGGGGUAUAAAGAAACAGGAGACAAGAAAUUUUGAAUGGGGCAUGAAGUAUGACCACCAGCAGUGAGUCCCAGACUGUGACCUCUUCCUGUGAAUGUGACCCAUUCAUUGGUACCUGAAGUUAUUAGUAGUAUCCAAUGCCCUGUUGUUGGGUUUUUGUGACAGGUCUCAUCUGUGUUUGGGGUUGUAGGAUAUGAUAGAGGUCUGCAGGCUCAGUGUUAAUGCUGCAUGAGAUUCUAGACUAGGCCUAGCUCCUACGUUAGCUGCUUAGUGGUAGCACCUACAUCCCUCAGAAGGAUCACCAGCGAGUGAGCAUCAUCAGACCCGGAGCUUGGCUGUACCUCCCACCCUACCCCAACCCCUGCCCGACCUGGCAGGCUUCAUAGGGCUGCUGUUCAGAGAGGCCAGGGUCCCUGAGGCUGCCUCUGCUAAUGCUGGCCUGGGAUCUGCUUCAGAACUUGGAACCUGGGGUGGAGCAGGGUGGGGUGGGGUGGGGUGGGGUUGGGAGGGAGCAGGGGGAGCACUAGCUCUGUGAUCGAUCAUGGGGUGCUGUGCAAGGCAUGUGUGUACGAGCCAGGGUUUCCACAGCAGGAGGAGUGGGCAUGCCUCAGUAGGUGUGUCUGUAUGUGUGUGCACAAGAGCUCCUGUCCUCUCGAAGCCCCUGUCAAAAGCCCCUGUCAGCUCGAAGCCUCUUCGCUACUACUGACUGUGAUCUACUGCACGUGACUUCCCCGAGCACCAACUGAGUUCAGUGUGUUGUUUGGGGGCAUGGAGAAAGGCCUUGAGACCAGGUGCUAAGUGACCAUUCCCUCCCUUUUGAUGACUGACCGCCCUGACUCCUGUCCAGCUGGGAGAACUGCCUGUGGUUGGUAUCUGGCAGUGACAGAUGUCACUAUGGUGCUGACAAACUACAUUCUGAAUGGGUGUUUCUAUGUAAAUCUGUAGCAUGUGGAAAAUCUCUAAUAAAUGGAACUUGAUUUAGAAAGCCA